GGUUUCUUGUAAUUAUUUAGGAGAUCUGACCUGCCCACUGAAAAUAUUUUGAAGGGCCGCAGUAUUUUGACUGUGCAAAGGUAGCAUAAUCAUUAGUCUUUUAAUUGAAGGCUGGUAUGAAUGGUUGGAUGAGGUAAAUUCUGUUUUAUGUUAAUUGAUGUUGAAUUUAGAUUUUAAGUAAAAAUACUUAAAUGUUAUUAAGGGACGAGAAGACCCUAUAGAGUUUAAUAAAUAUAAUAAUUAAUUGAGUUAAAGUUUAAUUUUUGGUUUUUAUGUAAUUUAUUUAAUUGGGGUGAUUGGAAGAUAAAAUAAACUCUUCUUUAUAUUUAAUAAAUUAAUUAGUUAUAUGAUCCAUAUUUAAUGAUUAAAAGAUUAAAUUACCUUAGGGAUAACAGCAUAAUUCUUUUUAAGAGUUCAUAUCGAAAAAAGAGAUUGUGACCUCGAUGUUGGAUUAAGAUUAGUUAUGGGUGCAGAUGUUCAAGAACUAGGUCUGUUCGACCUUGAAAAUCUU
rnacentral:rRNA from 1 species